rnacentral:sRNA from 1 species
ACGUGUAUUUUCAUAGAAGCAUAUAAACAAAUAACGAUAGCUAGUCUUAAUGAAUAAUCUGAAGUAAACCCACUCUCAUCUAGUACACCUAGGGGCGACACUGAGAACCGCUCCAAGAACAGAUCGAGGUUUUGAAGAAACCGAGGUCACAACUCUUGUCUUGUUUUCCAGGCAUUCUCUCACAAGCACUCAGAAUUCCCCUCACGCAGUUCAGUUCCUGGUCCAUGCUUCCUCAGUUCACGUCUUCUUUUCAGAUCUGUGAACUCAUGAUCCUACCCCUCCCCCCCUUUAGUACCGGGAUCACACGUAUGCGCCUCAAUGCUCGCUGGAACGCACUGUGUAGCGCAAGAUGACCUCAGAUGAAUAGAGAUCUGCGGCCUCUGCUCCUGGGCGCUGGGAUUGAAGGUGCGCGCCGCCACAUCUGGCUAAUUUCCUCUGCUGCAAGUCUCCUUCCCGAAGAGCCAUCCUAACCAGAGCUGACAGCCACGGUUCUGAGAGCCGAGACACUAAGAAGACAGAUGUGACUUUGUUGUUACCUCAGAAGCGAGGCCUCCAAGGGAAAGGCAGCUGAGCCCAGUCCUGAGACGCUGAAUGAAGCCUGCCCCAGCCUUCCAUCCCGCCUUUUCUACACCUCAACCCUCACGACCCUCAUCCUUGGUUUGCACCCUUGUAAGCACAUGGAGGCAGGCUGGGCCAUCUGCAGUGUGGUUUCGCCUCUGGUGUCUCACUUAUUAUCCCAACCCCACCUCUUCUCCAAGGCCUUUAGGUACGUGUGAAAAGGUAGCUCAUCCACAAUGUCUUGUGGGCUGUAACCACUGAGGGGAUGGAGUCUAUAAGUCUAUCUCUUGCCUUUGGGCUGAGUUAGACCAAACUUCAACUCCAUAAUUUACUAGCGGGUUAGGUAACCUUGUGAAUAAGGAGUUCUUUGCUCUGAAGGCUGUGACGAACCACUUAACAUUCAGUUUCGAAACAGACUGUGUAGCCCAGGCUGGCCUUAAACUGACAGUAAUCACCCUGCCUCAGCCUCCUGGGCACUAAGGUUACAGAAGUGUGUCUCCAUGACUGGAGUUCUUUCUUUGUAUGCAACCGAGAUGGACUGUAACUUAAUCAGGAAGGAAUUUUCUAGAAAGGGACGGACUGGUUCUUAGAGGCUGAAGAGCCAGACGUAUGAGAUAAUUGUUUGCUCCAAGUCAGGGUAAAGAAUCUCUCCAUUCCAGUGUUUUCUGUUACCCCUUUCCUCCUGAGAAUCCAGGGUGACAAGGACCUAAUGGCCUUAUUGCGUUCUAUGCGGUGCUGUCUUUUGGUUAAUGACUAGUCAGGGGUAGCCAGGAAUCAAUGGGACAAAGGCUUAUUCUCCGAGAAUAUCCCCAGGAAGGAAAAUUACGUUGUCAUCCCAAGGUAAGGAAUUCCUAGCAGGGGGCUGGUUCAUCCUUCCUUUCCCAGGGUGCAGCUCGGGUCAGGGGAUGUUCACUGCUUGAGGAGAAACGUUUCCAGGACAGGAGCGAAUGCAGUUCCCCUUUAAGAAGUGGAUGAAAGAACUAAGAUUAGAACCAAAGAAGAGAGGACUGGGUUAGUUUGGCAUGGCUGUCUUAGAUACUGUGAAGCCUGGCCCCCAGAAGCAAGAACAAUUUGUAUUCCUUAUAUCCAAAAGGAAAAACUAAAGCCAAGAAAUGGACUAUCAAGUGAAACAGGCUGAGGUGGUACACAACAGUAAGAUAGGCUACAGACGAGGAGGCAGGAGGGUCAUGAGUUCAAGGCUAGCCCGAACUUACGGGGCUCCGUGGUUGAGAACACUUGCCGAGGGCCCAGGUUUAGUUUCUAGCACCCAGUGCACCUGUAAUUCCAGUUCUAGGGGAUUGGACACCUACUGCUGGCCUCUGCAGACACCAAGCGUACACACUGUGUACGUACACACACGCAGGCACAUACUCACACCCAAAGUAAAUAUGAAUAAAUUGGAAGUGAAACGGUUUUCCUUCCACUAUAUCUAAAGCUACAGUCUUCCAAGAAGCAAGGUAAGCCGACUUGUGAGAGAGACAACUUUGUGUCUCUGGGAGGAUUCGUGUUCAGUUGCCCGUGGUAGCGAGGACCACAGUGGACCACAGUAGACAGGAUGCUACAGCUGAUGUCCUCAUGGUUUCAGUGGUGACAUGCGUCAGUGCCUGGGUGGCCACAGCUGCCCAACGGCACUUUUCCAGAUGUGGAGUUCCAGAUGUGUAUGGCGUGAGUGACAGAGGACGUGAGGAGCUCCCACAUACCCUUCCUGACCACCUCCUUAGGUCUGUGAUGGUCCGGACAUACUGUGGGAGAGCCCUUUAUUUUGGAGUGACGCCCCGCUCAGAGGUCACUGCUGGGAUGUGUUCCAUCAGCCAGCGUCUUUCAUGCUUCCUCCAGUGUAAACCACACCAACAUCUUGUUUAUCACUGAAGAACAAAUAUAUUUUGAGUCCCUAGGGCUAUAUCUGUUAUGAGAAAUCGAAAAUACCCAUAUUUAUAAACAUCGUGUUGUAUAUCAGAAAUACAUGAGAUUUUUAAAAAGA